GGGUGUAGGCGGCUUGGCAAGUUGGUUGUGAAAUCCCUGGGCCCAACCCCAGGAACUGCAAUCAAAACUGCCUCGCUAGAGUCCCGGAGAGGGUGGCGGAAUUCCCGGUGUAGAGGUGAAAUUCGUAGAUAUCGGGAAGAACACCCGUGGCGAAGGCGGUUCUCUGGGACGGUACUGACGCUGAGACGCGAAAGCGUGGGGAGCGAACA
rnacentral:rRNA from 1 species